UGCUGUUAAAAAGCUCGUAGUUGGAUCAAGAGUUCGACAGUGCAAGGUGGCCUCACUUGUGGCGGUAGCUCCGGUUAUCGUCACGGUGGCGGAUCAACCCCUUGCGCCAAACUGUCGUCUCUAACUGACCGAAACGGUUCCCUGCGAGUAGGCCACUUUAUUGGGGCUGAAAACACUUACGCGUAAACUACACGCUUACGGGACGUCGGUCAAAGUUACUGUGAACAAACCAGCGUGUCCAAGGCAGGCUAUCGCCUGAAUGUUCGAGCAUGGAAUAACAAGGGAUCGAUUCUCUCGGUUCUUUUUGUUGGUUUUUAACCCGAGAAGGAGUAAUUCAGGUCACGGUGUCUGGGUCGGGUUCCCCUUCACUCAGGUGGAGGCCCCGGUUAGGCCGUGCCCUUACGGGAUAAAUAGGGACUGACGGGGUCGUAC
rnacentral:rRNA from 1 species